AUGGGGAGCACAGAGUAAUAUCCUGAAAUAUUAAAUUUUCAAAUAGUCACAAAUACCAUUCAACCUUUUCUGUACAGGCAUCUAUUCUCUUGCUUAAAUACACUAAUCAUCGCAGUUGUACCUUUACUAAAGGCAAUCAGUUUUGUUUUUAUCCCCAAUUUUAACCUCUAUAAAACAAAGAUAAUAUAUUGACCACAGCAGCCUUUUAAAUACUUGUUAAGAAAAAAUAUAUAAUUACUUUUUCUCAUAUUUAAGAUAAAGCACCUGGUUCCUUCAGCUUUUCUUCAAUGUGGACUAAUUUCUAGUAAUGUUACUCUCCUGGAUGUUGUCUUCUGUGCACAGCCCAGACUUUCAAUAGUUGUCUUAAAAUUGAUGACACCAGCUUAAUAGAGUAUUCCAUAUAUUGACUGGCCAAUCAAGAGCAAAACUGCUUCUCUUAUUUGGGGGAAUAUAUCCUAAUUAACCUAAAAGUAAACACUAUUUCCCUUUGUAGCCACAUCCUGUUGUUGAUUCAAAUUGAACAACCUAGGAACUAAAACCCUGUAACUAAAAUCAAAAUCCGUGGGAUUAUAUCAGUGCCAGCUUUGGCUACACAUUUAAAAUUCCAGGUUUAGGAUGAUGCUGAGAUCCAUCUCAUCGUGCUGUUUGGUGGCUGGCGCUCACUGGAUACUGAUUUCAGAUUCCAGUCUAUUCAGUUUGUACAGACUCACCAUGGGUAUCACCAGAGUGAUUUGCUCUAACCCAGCACUCACAUUUUCUUAUACAAUUUUCCUUUUCUCAUUUCCUUCUUUUAAAGUAGUCUUUUUGAACAACUUGUCUAAUUCUAUGCUUUACCUAAAACCCACUGAGGUAAAUGGAAUCAAAGGAAAGUCACUACAAUACCAAAGGAUGUACCUGGACUUGAAAAGGCUAAUUAUGCUUGAAUGAAUAUUAGAGAAUGACAAAUGUUUGUGCAAAUAUUUGCCCAUCUGUGUGAAUGACUAUGAAAUCCUAUGUUUACCUACAAUUGUCAUUAUGAUGUGGGAUUGAUGAAAUAUGUACAAAUAAUUUUUCUUAAACUAAGCUUUUUUUUUUUUUUUUUUUAAAUGGCACCCUUUGUAAUAUAUACCACCAGUGGCAAGUUAUAUCAGGCUAAUGUACAGCCUGAGGUGGUGUCAAGAAACAAUGAGAUAUUUCACCCAAUCAUAUCCCUUCUCAUUGGUCACUAUUGUAGAGUUGAUGAUUUUUCUCAACUCCCCCUCCUGCCAUAUGCCUGGCAGUGCACGUGCAAGGAUGGAGUGUAUUUUCCCUCCUCAUUGAUGUUGAAGUUGACCCUCUGAAGUUUUUGGCCAACAGACAUGGAAUUCUGAGCCAAAGUCUUCAGAGGCAUCACAUGUUUUAUUUUGCCCUCAGAGCCUCCUGCGGGCCACUGUGAAGGGGUCAUGGCUUGGGUAACUCCUGGUAUUUUAGUAUGUGGAGACAUAAUGAGCCUACCUACAGCCAACCAAACUGAAGCCUGAGACAAAUCCCAACCAACCUACACUCUGUGGCAGAGCCUCUUCAGACAAGCCAUAGACCUGCAAGAAGGGAAAAGAGCAGAGAAGAUUGAGCUUUGGGAGUCAAGUGGCAGACAGCUGUGGUUUCGGCUUCCAGCGGUCACACAACUCCAGAGGGACCGGAAGGUCAAGGGAAGCAUGUAGGACCGCAGGCUGUUCACGUGGCUCGGAGGAGGAGAUGACCAACCCCUAAUAAAACACCGUCUGCCGGACAUGCCAUUGGGACUGGCAUGCUAAUUGAAAGCAGCAGGAGUGGGGUUGCCCCUCUUUGACUUUAGCGCUCAGCUUGAAAUAACUUUUCCUUCCACAGAAAAAGAAGUACUCAGCCAGUAAAGCAGUACUGUUAUUAAAAAAAAAAAAAAAAAAGAUUCAAACAAGCCAGCAUCACUGCUCCAGUAGAAGAUAAAGAAAUAUUUAUUUCUCUUUAUUUACUUUUUCAGCAAGUUCAUUAUCUUGUUUAUUUCCUUUUGACUGGGUCAAAGCUUGAUACUGCUGUACACAAAUAUUUUAUCAUCUUAGAGGAGAGAAUAUCUGUUAAUCCAAUUCAUCUUUCAAUAAUAGUAGUGCCCUGUUAUUUUUUAACUAUUUAUUUUUUUUCUAAAUCAAAAUAACACAGGCACAUAGGUCAACCGUUCUGUAUUAUUUUCAUGGAAUGGCAGGCAGCAUGCUAUCUACCUCCCUGCAACCUGGUGUUCCCUUCCCAGAAGUAACUUCUUUGUAAUCCUUUGGCUACUUCCCUUGCUACUUACCUAUGAAGCAUUUUUAAAUAUUGAGUAUUUAGUUUAGCAUUAGUUUUAGUUUUGUAAAAGGCAUUAUAUACUAACUUUCCACUAUGGAAAAGGAAAUUUAGCUUGUGUCACUAUAUUUUCCUUAUUCACUUUCUGAUUCCUCAGCCUCUCAAUAUAGUUGUAUCCUAACUCCAUGAUUCUCCCUUAAAAAAAAAAAAAAAAAACAAACAGAAAAACAAAGAAAUGAAAACUUUUCUUCACCCUAUGUAGACUCACAUAUCCAAGUUGCUUUUAUCCCGUAUCUUUUGCAAUAUUUAUGCCUUUUAUGCUAGAAGAUUUCUUCAAGUGUUGACAAUCAUUUACAGUCUCUUCUUAAAUAGUUCAGACUGUGAUAUGAAUAAAGUGAUUGUAAAA
rnacentral:lncRNA from 1 species